AGUGAUUGUGAAUAUAAAAUAUCUUCUUACAAAAGAGGAAUGAGGGAAGAUGGAGAGAAACUAAUGUGUUGAUAAGCCUCUGACUCAAACAACGCGGUGCUUCUGGCAAAGUGACCAGCUGACAACCUAGAAGGAAAGUAACUUCUGCAAAAACUUUGCGGAGUGCUAUGUGAUAUUUGCUGGGGGGUGAUGAAGGAAGAUGCCUGGAUUUGGAGAGUCUGACAGCUGGAGCUUCCAUCCCGGCUGAGGGCUCCAACAAAGACCCGGCGUGUGCUGCCAGGAGAUUCGGAGAGGGUUUGAAAGGAGUCCUGCC
rnacentral:lncRNA from 1 species